GGGAUUUCUAUGAAAAUAAGCGAUAUUUUAUUGGAAAAACAGGGAUUUCUAUGAAAAUAAGCGAUAUAUAAGGUUAAAAACGGGGAUUUCUAUGAAAAUAAGCGAUAUUUAAGGCUAAAAACGGGGAUUUCUAUGAAAAUAAGCGAUAUUUAAGGUUAAAAACGGGGAUUUCUAUGAAAAUAAGCGAUAAUUAAGGUUAAAAACGGGGAUUUCUAUGAAAAUAAGCGAUAUUUAAGGUUAAAAACGGGGAUUUCUAUGAAAAUAAGCGAUAUUUAAUGUUUAAAACGGAAAUUUCUAUGAAAAUAAGCGAUAUUUUAGUGGAAAAACAGGGAUUUCUAUGAAAAUAAGCGAUAUUUAAGGUUAAAAACAGGGAUUUCUAUGAAAAUAAGCGAUAUUUAAGGUUAAAAACGGGGAUUUCUAUGAAAAUAAGCGAAAUUUAGGGUUAAAAACGGGGAUUUCUAUGAAAAUAAGCGAUAUUUUAGGUUAAAAACAGGGAUUUCUAUGAAAAUAAGCGAUAUUUAAGGCUAAAAACGGGGAUUUCUAUGAAAAUAAGCGAUAUUUUAGGUUAAAAACAGGGAUUUCUAUGAAAAUAAGCGAUAUUUUAUUGGAAAAACAGGGAUUUCUAUGAAAAUAAGCGAUAUUUAAGGUUAAAAACAGGGAUUUCUAUGAAAAUAAGCGAUAUUUUAGGGUUAAAAACGGGGAUUUCUAUGAAAAUAAGCGAUAUUUAAGGUUAAAAACGGGGAUUUCUAUGAAAAUAAGCGAUAUUUAAGGUUAAAAACGGGGAUUUCUAUGAAAAUAAGCGAUAUUUAAGGUUAAAAACGGGGAUUUCUAUGAAAAUAAGAGAUAUUUAAGGUUAAAAACGGGGAUUUCUAUGAAAAUAAGCGAUAUUUAAGGUUAAAAACAGGGAUUUCUAUGAAAAUAAGCGAUAUUUAAGGUUAAAAACAGGGAUUUCUAUGAAAAUAAGCGAUAUUUAAGGUUAAAAACGGGGAUUUCUAUGAAAAUAAGCGAUAUUUAAGGUUAAAAACGGGGAUUUCUAUGAAAAUAAGCGAUAUUUUAGUGGAAAAACAGGGAUUUCUAUGAAAAUAAGCGAUAUUUUAUGGGAAAAACGGGGAUUUCUAUGAAAAUAAGCGAUAUUUAAGGUUAAAAACAGGGAUUUCUAUGAAAAUAAGCAAUAAUUAAGGUUAAAAACAGGGAUUUCUAUGAAAAUAAGCGAUAUUUAAGGUUAAAAACGGGGAUUUCUAUGAAAAUAAGCGAUAAUUAAGGUUAAAAACGGGGAUUUCUAUGAAAAUAAGCGAUAUUUAAGGUUAAAAACGGGGAUUUCUAUGAAAAUAAGCGAUAUUUUAUUGGAAAAACAGGGAUUUCUAUGAAAAUAAGCGAUAUUUAAGGUUAAAAACAGGGAUUUCUAUGAAAAUAAGCGAUAUUUAAGGUUAAAAACGGAUUUCUAUGAAAAUAAGCGAUAUUUAAGGUUAAAAACAGGGAUUUCUAUGAAAAUAAGCGAUAUUUCAGGCUAAAAACGGGGAUUUCUAUGAAAAUAAGCGAUAUUUAAGGUUAAAAAACGGGGAUUUCUAUGAAAAUAAGCGAUAUUUUAGGUUAAAAACAGGGAUUUCUAUGAAAAUAAGCGAUAUUUAAGGUUAAAAACGGGGAUUUCUAUGAAAAUAAGCGAUAUUUAAGGUUAAAAACGGGGAUUUCUAUGAAAAUAAGCGAUAUUUUAGUGGAAAAACAGGGAUUUCUAUGAAAAUAAGCGAUAUUUAAGGUUAAAAAUAGGGAUUUCUAUGAAAAUAAGCGAUAUUUAAGGCUAAAAACGGGGAUUUCUAUGAAAAUAAGCGAUAUUUAAGGUUAAAAACGGGGAUUUCUAUGAAAAUAAGCGAUAUUUCAGGUUAAAAACGGGGAUUUCUAUGAAAAUAAGCGAUAUUUAAGGUUAAAAACGGGGAUUUCUAUGAAAAUAAGCGAUAUAUAAGGUUAAAAACGGGGAUUUCUAUGAAAAUAAGCGAUAUUUAAGGUUAAAAACAGGGAUUUCUAUGAAAAUAAGCGAUAUUUUAUUGGAAAAACAGGGAUUUCUAUGAAAAUAAGCGAUAUAUAAGGUUAAAAACGGGGAUUUCUAUGAAAAUAAGCGAUAUUUAAGGUUAAAAACGGGGAUUUCUAUGAAAAUAAGCAAUAUUUAAGGUUAAAAACGGGGAUUUCUAUGAAAAUAAGCGAUAUUUCAGGUUAAAAACGGGGAUUUCUAUGAAAAUAAGCGAUAUUUAAGGUUAAAAACGGGGAUUUCUAUGAAAAUAAGCGAUAUUUCAGGUUAAAAACGGGGAUUUCUAUGAAAAUAAGCGAUAUUUAAGGUUAAAAACGGGGAUUUCUAUGAAAAUAAGCGAUAUUUUAGGGGAAAAACGGGGAUUUCUAUGAAAAUAAGCGAUAUUUCAGGUUAAAAACAGGGAUUUCUAUGAAAAUAAGCGAUAAUUAAGGUUAAAAACGGGGAUUUCUAUGAAAAUAAGCGAUAUUUAAGGUUAAAAACGGGGAUUUCUAUGAAAAUAAGCGAUAUUUAAGGUUAAAAACAGGGAUUUCUAUGAAAAUAAGCGAUAUUUAAGGCUAAAAACGGGGAUUUCUAUGAAAAUAAGCGAUAUUUAAGGUUAAAAACGGGGAUUUCUAUGAAAAUAAGCGAUAUUUAAGGGGAAAAACAGGGAUUUCUAUGAAAAUAAGCGAUAUUUAAGGUUAAAAACAGGGAUUUCUAUGAAAAGAAGCGAUAUUUUAGGGUUAAAAACGGGGAUUUAUAUGAAAAUAAGCGAUAUUUAAGGUUAAAAACGGGGAUUUCUAUGAAAAUAAGCUAUAUUUAAGGUUAAAAACGGGGAUUUCUAUGAAAAUAAGCGAUAAUUAAGGUUAAAAACGGGGAUUUCUAUGAAAAUAAGCGAUAUUUAAGGUUAAAAACGGGGAUUUCUAUGAAAAUAAGCGAUAUUUUAUUGGAAAAACAGGGAUUUCUAUGAAAAUAAGCGAUAUAUAAGGUUAAAAACGGGGAUUUCUAUGAAAAUAAGCGAUAUUUAAGGUUAAAAACGGGGAUUUCUAUGAAAAUAAGCGAUAUUUAAGGUUAAAAACAGGGAUUUCUAUGAAAAUAAGCAAUAUUUAAGGUUAAAAACGGGGAUUUCUAUGAAAAUAAGCGAUAUUUCAGGUUAAAAACGGGGAUUUCUAUGAAAAUAAGUGAUAUUUUAGUGGAAAAACAGGGAUUUCUAUGAAAAUAAGCGAUAUUUUAGGGGAAAAACAGGGAUUUCUAUGAAAAUAAGCGAUAUUUAAGGUUAAAAACAGGGAUUUCUAUGAAAAUAAGCGAUAUUUAAGGUUAAAAACGGGGAUUUCUAUGAAAAUAAGCGAUAUUUAAGGUUAAAAACAGGGAUUUCUAUGAAAAUAAGCGAUAUUUAAGGUUAAAAACAGGGAUUUCUAUGAAAAUAAGCGAUAUUUAAGGUUAAAAACAGGGAUUUCUAUGAAAAUAAGCGAUAUUUCAGGCUAAAAACGGGGAUUUCUAUGAAAAUAAGCGAUAUUUUAGGUUAAAAACGGGGAUUUCUAUGAAAAUAAGCGAUAUUUUAUUGGAAAAACAGGGAUUUCUAUGAAAAUAAGCGAUAUUUUAGGUUAAAAACAGGGAUUUCUAUGAAAAUAAGCGAUAUUUAAGGUUAAAAACAGGGAUUUCUAUGAAAAUAAGCGAUAUUUAAGGUUAAAAACAGGGAUUUCUAUGAAAAUAAGCGAUAUUUCAGGCUAAAAACGGGGAUUUCUAUGAAAAUAAGCGAUAUUUAAGGUUAAAAACGGGGAUUUCUAUGAAAAUAAGCGAUAUUUUAGGUUAAAAACAGGGAUUUCUAUGAAAAUAAGCGAUAUUUAAGGUUAAAAACGGGGAUUUCUAUGAAAAUAAGCGAUAUUUAAGGUUAAAAACAGGGAUUUCUAUGAAAAUAAGCGAUAUUUUAGUGGAAAAACAGGGAUUUCUAUGAAAAUAAGCGAUAUUUAAGGUUAAAAAUAGGGAUUUCUAUGAAAAUAAGCGACAUUUAAGGUUAAAAACGGGGAUUUCUAUGAAAAUAAGCGAUAUUUAAGGUUAAAAACAGGGAUUUCUAUGAAAAUAAGCGAUAUUUUAGUGGAAAAACAGGGAUUUCUAUGAAAAUAAGCGAUAUUUAAGGUUAAAAAUAGGGAUUUCUAUGAAAAUAAGCGAUAUUUAAGGCUAAAAACGGGGAUUUCUAUGAAAAUAAGCGAUAUUUAAGGUUAAAAAUAGGGAUUUCUAUGAAAAUAAGCGAUAUUUCAGGUUAAAAACGGGGAUUUCUAUGAAAAUAAGCGAUAUUUAAGGUUAAAAACAGGGAUUUCUAUGAAAAUAAGCGAUAUUUAAGGUUAAAAACAGGGAUUUCUAUGAAAAUAAGCGAUAUAUAAGGUUAAAAACGGGGAUUUCUAUGAAAAUAAGCGAUAUUUAAGGUUAAAAACAGGGAUUUCUAUGAAAAUAAGCGAUAUUUUAUUGGAAAAACAGGGAUUUCUAUGAAAAUAAGCGAUAUAUAAGGUUAAAAACGGGGAUUUCUAUGAAAAUAAGCGAUAUUUAAGGUUAAAAACGGGGAUUUCUAUGAAAAUAAGCAAUAUUUAAGGUUAAAAACGGAGAUUUCUAUGAAAAUAAGCGAUAUUUCAGGUUAAAAACGGGGAUUUCUAUGAAAAUAAGCGACAUUUAAGGUUAAAAACGGGGAUUUCUAUGAAAAUAAGCGAUAUUUUAGUGGAAAAACAGGGAUUUCUAUGAAAAUAAGCGAUAUUUUAGGGGAAAAACAGGGAUUUCUAUGAAAAUAAGCGAUAUUUAAGGUUAAAAACAGGGAUUUCUAUGAAAAUAAGCGAUAUUUAAGGUUAAAAACGGGGAUUUCUAUGAAAAUAAGCGAUAUUUUAGUGGAAAAACAGGGAUUUCUAUGAAAAUAAGCGAUAUUUAAGGUUAAAAACAGGGAUUUCUAUGAAAAUAAGCGAUAUUUAAGGCUAAAAACGGGGAUUUCUAUGAAAAUAAGCGAUAUUUAAGGUUAAAAACGGGGAUUUCUAUGAAAAUAAGCGACAUUUAAGGUUAAAAACGGGGAUUUCUAUGAAAAUAAGCGAUAUUUUAGUGGAAAAACAGGGAUUUCUAUGAAAAUAAGCGAUAUUUUAGGGGAAAAAACAGGGAUUUCUAUGAAAAUAAGCGAUAUUUAAGGUUAAAAACAGGGAUUUCUAUGAAAAUAAGCGAUAUUUAAGGUUAAAAACGGGGAUUUCUAUGAAAAUAAGCGAUAUUUAAGGUUAAAAACAGGGAUUUCUAUGAAAAUAAGCGAUAUUUAAGGUUAAAAACAGGGAUUUCUAUGAAAAUAAGCGAUAUUUAAGGUUAAAAACAGGGAUUUCUAUGAAAAUAAGCGAUAUUUCAGGCUAAAAACGGGGAUUUCUAUGAAAAUAAGCGAUAUUUUAGGUUAAAAACGGGGAUUUCUAUGAAAAUAAGCGAUAUUUUAUUGGAAAAACAGGGAUUUCUAUGAAAAUAAGCGAUAUUUAAGGUUAAAAACAGGGAUUUCUAUGAAAAUAAGCGAUAUUUAAGGUUAAAAACAGGGAUUUCUAUGAAAAUAAGCGAUAUUUAAGGUUAAAAACAGGGAUUUCUAUGAAAAUAAGCGAUAUUUCAGGCUAAAAACGGGGAUUUCUAUGAAAAUAAGCGAUAUUUAAGGUUAAAAACGGGGAUUUCUAUGAAAAUAAGCGAUAUUUUAGGUUAAAAACAGGGAUUUCUAUGAAAAUAAGCGAUAUUUAAGGUUAAAAACGGGGAUUUCUAUGAAAAUAAGCGAUAUUUAAGGUUAAAAACGGGGAUUUCUAUGAAAAUAAGCGAUAUUUUAGGGGAAAAACAGGGAUUUCUAUGAAAAUAAGCGAUAUUUAAGGUUAAAAAUAGGGAUUUCUAUGAAAAUAAGCGAUAUUUAAGGUUAAAAACGGGGAUUUCUAUGAAAAUAAGCGAUAUUUAAUGUUAAAAACAGGGAUUUCUAUGAAAAUAAGCGAUAUUUUAGUGGAAAAACAGGGAUUUCUAUGAAAAUAAGCGAUAUUUAAGGUUAAAAAUAGGGAUUUCUAUGAAAAUAAGCGAUAUUUAAGGCUAAAAACGGGGAUUUCUAUGAAAAUAAGCGAUAUUUAAGGUUAAAAAUAGGGAUUUCUAUGAAAAUAAGCGAUAUUUCAGGUUAAAAACGGGGAUUUCUAUGAAAAUAAGCGAUAUUUAAGGUUAAAAACAGGGAUUUCUAUGAAAAUAAGCGAUAUUUAAGGUUAAAAACAGGGAUUUCUAUGAAAAUAAGCGAUAUAUAAGGUUAAAAACGGGGAUUUCUAUGAAAAUAAGCGAUAUUUAAGGUUAAAAACAGGGAUUUCUAUGAAAAUAAGCGAUAUUUUAUUGGAAAAACAGGGAUUUCUAUGAAAAUAAGCGAUAUAUAAGGUUAAAAACGGGGAUUUCUAUGAAAAUAAGCGAUAUUUAAGGUUAAAAACGGGGAUUUCUAUGAAAAUAAGCAAUAUUUAAGGUUAAAAACGGGGAUUUCUAUGAAAAUAAGCGAUAUUUCAGGUUAAAAACGGGGAUUUCUAUGAAAAUAAGCGACAUUUAAGGUUAAAAACGGGGAUUUCUAUGAAAAUAAGCGAUAUUUAAGGUUAAAAACAGGGAUUUCUAUGAAAAUAAGCGAUAUUUUAGUGGAAAAACAGGGAUUUCUAUGAAAAUAAGCGAUAUUUAAGGUUAAAAAUAGGGAUUUCUAUGAAAAUAAGCGAUAUUUAAGGCUAAAAACGGGGAUUUCUAUGAAAAUAAGCGAUAUUUAAGGUUAAAAAUAGGGAUUUCUAUGAAAAUAAGCGAUAUUUCAGGUUAAAAACGGGGAUUUCUAUGAAAAUAAGCGAUAUUUAAGGUUAAAAACAGGGAUUUCUAUGAAAAUAAGCGAUAUUUAAGGUUAAAAACAGGGAUUUCUAUGAAAAUAAGCGAUAUAUAAGGUUAAAAACGGGGAUUUCUAUGAAAAUAAGCGAUAUUUAAGGUUAAAAACAGGGAUUUCUAUGAAAAUAAGCGAUAUUUUAUUGGAAAAACAGGGAUUUCUAUGAAAAUAAGCGAUAUAUAAGGUUAAAAACGGGGAUUUCUAUGAAAAUAAGCGAUAUUUAAGGUUAAAAACGGGGAUUUCUAUGAAAAUAAGCAAUAUUUAAGGUUAAAAACGGGGAUUUCUAUGAAAAUAAGCGAUAUUUCAGGUUAAAAACGGGGAUUUCUAUGAAAAUAAGCGACAUUUAAGGUUAAAAACGGGGAUUUCUAUGAAAAUAAGCGAUAUUUUAGUGGAAAAACAGGGAUUUCUAUGAAAAUAAGCGAUAUUUUAGGGGAAAAACAGGGAUUUCUAUGAAAAUAAGCGAUAUUUAAGGUUAAAAACAGGGAUUUCUAUGAAAAUAAGCGAUAUUUAAGGUUAAAAACGGGGAUUUCUAUGAAAAUAAGCGAUAUUUUAGUGGAAAAACAGGGAUUUCUAUGAAAAUAAGCGAUAUUUAAGGUUAAAAACAGGGAUUUCUAUGAAAAUAAGCGAUAUUUAAGGCUAAAAACGGGGAUUUCUAUGAAAAUAAGCGAUAUUUAAGGUUAAAAACGGGGAUUUCUAUGAAAAUAAGCGAUAUUUAAGGGGAAAAAACAGGGAUUUCUAUGAAAAUAAGCGAUAUUUAAGGUUAAAAACAGGGAUUUCUAUGAAAAUAAGCGAUAUAUAAGGUUAAAAACGGGGAUUUCUAUGAAAAUAAGCGAUAUUUAAGGUUAAAAACAGGGAUUUCUAUGAAAAUAAGCGAUAUUUUAUUGGAAAAACAGGGAUUUCUAUGAAAAUAAGCGAUAUAUAAGGUUAAAAACGGGGAUUUCUAUGAAAAUAAGCGAUAUUUAAGGUUAAAAACGGGGAUUUCUAUGAAAAUAAGCAAUAUUUAAGGUUAAAAACGGGGAUUUCUAUGAAAAUAAGCGAUAUUUCAGGUUAAAAACGGGGAUUUCUAUGAAAAUAAGCGACAUUUAAGGUUAAAAACGGGGAUUUCUAUGAAAAUAAGCGAUAUUUUAGUGGAAAAACAGGGAUUUCUAUGAAAAUAAGCGAUAUUUUAGGGGAAAAACAGGGAUUUCUAUGAAAAUAAGCGAUAUUUAAGGUUAAAAACAGGGAUUUCUAUGAAAAUAAGCGAUAUUUAAGGUUAAAAACGGGGAUUUCUAUGAAAAUAAGCGAUAUUUUAGUGGAAAAACAGGGAUUUCUAUGAAAAUAAGCGAUAUUUAAGGUUAAAAACAGGGAUUUCUAUGAAAAUAAGCGAUAUUUAAGGCUAAAAACGGGGAUUUCUAUGAAAAUAAGCGAUAUUUAAGGUUAAAAACGGGGAUUUCUAUGAAAAUAAGCGAUAUUUAAGGGGAAAAACAGGGAUUUCUAUGAAAAUAAGCGAUAUUUAAGGUUAAAAACAGGGAUUUCUAUGAAAAGAAGCGAUAUUUUAGGGUUAAAAACGGGGAUUUCUAUGAAAAUAAGCGAUAUUUAAGGUUAAAAACGGGGUUUUCUAUGAAAAUAAGCGAUAUUUUAGUGGAAAAACAGGGAUUUCUAUGAAAAUAAGCGAUAUUUAAGGUUAAAAACAGGGAUUUCUAUGAAAAUAAGCGAUAUUUAAGGUUAAAUACGGGGAUUUCUAUGAAAAUAAGCGAUAUAUAAGGUUAAAAACGGGGAUUUCUAUGAAAAUAAGCGAUAUUUAAGGGGAAAAACAGGGAUUUCUAUGAAAAUAAGCGAUAUUUAUGGUUAAAAAUAGGGAUUUCUAUGAAAAUAAGCGAUAUUUAAGGCUAAAAACAGGGAUUUCUAUGAAAAUAAGCGAUAUUUUAGGUUAAAAACAGGGAUUUCUAUGAAAAUAAGCGAUAUUUAAGGUUAAAAACAGGGAUUUCUAUGAAAAUAAGCGAUAUUUUAGGGUUAAAAACGGGGAUUUCUAUGAAAAUAAGCGAUAUUUUAGGUUAAAAACAGGGAUUUCUAUGAAAAUAAGCGAUAUUUAAGGUUAAAAACGGGGAUUUCUAUGAAAAUAAGCGAUAUUUAAGGUUAAAAACGGGGAUUUCUAUGAAAAUAAGCGAUAUUUUAGUGGAAAAACAGGGAUUUCUAUGAAAAUAAGCGAUAUUUAAGGUUAAAAAUAGGGAUUUCUAUGAAAAUAAGCGAUAUUUAAGGUUAAAAAUAGGGAUUUCUAUGAAAAUAAGCGACAUUUAAGGUUAAAAACGGGGAUUUCUAUGAAAAUAAGCGAUAUUUAAGGUUAAAAACGGGGAUUUCUAUGAAAAUAAGCGAUAUUUUAGUGGAAAAACAGGGAUUUCUAUGAAAAUAAGCGAUAUUUAAGGCUAAAAACGGGGAUUUCUAUGAAAAUAAGCGAUAUUUAAGGCUAAAAACGGGGAUUUCUAUGAAAAUAAGCGAUAUUUAAGGUUAAAAAUAGGGAUUUCUAUGAAAAUAAGCGAUAUUUCAGGUUAAAAACGGGGAUUUCUAUGAAAAUAAGCGAUAUUUAAGGUUAAAAACAGGGAUUUCUAUGAAAAUAAGCGAUAUAUAAUGUUAAAAACGGGGAUUUCUAUGAAAAUAAGCGAUAUUUAAGGUUAAAAACAGGGAUUUCUAUGAAAAUAAGCGAUAUUUUAUUGGAAAAACAGGGAUUUCUAUGAAAAUAAGCGAUAUUUAAGGUUAAAAACAGGGAUUUCUAUGAAAAUAAGCGAUAUUUAAGGUUAAAAACGGGGAUUUCUAUGAAAAUAAGCAAUAUUUAAGGUUAAAAACGGGGAUUUCUAUGAAAAUAAGCGAUAUUUAAGGUUAAAAACGGGGAUUUCUAUGAAAAUAAGCGAUAUUUUAGUGGAAAAACAGGGAUUUCUAUGAAAAUAAGCGAUAUUUAAGGUUAAAAACGGGGAUUUCUAUGAAAAUAAGCGAUAAUUAAGGUUAAAAACAGGGAUUUCUAUGAAAAUAAGCGAUAUUUAAGGUUAAAAACGGGGAUUUCUAUGAAAAUAAGCGAUAUUUUAGUGGAAAAACAGGGAUUUCUAUGAAAAUAAGCGAUAUUUAAGGUUAAAAACGGGGAUUUCUAUGAAAAUAAGCGAUAAUUAAGGUUAAAAACAGGGAUUUCUAUGAAAAUAAGCGAUAUUUAAGGUUAAAAACGGGGAUUUCUAUGAAAAUAAGCGAUAUUUUAUUGGAAAUACAGGGAUUUCUAUGAAAAUAAGCGAUAUUUAAGGUUAAAAACGGGGAUUUCUAUGAAAAUAAGCGAUAUUUAAGGUUAAAAAUAGUGAUUUCUAUGAAAAUAAGCGAUAUUUCAGGUUAAAAACGGGGAUUUCUAUGAAAAUAAGCGAUAUAUAAGGUUAAAAACGGGGAUUUCUAUGAAAAUAAGCGAUAUUUAAGGUUAAAAACAGGGAUUUCUAUGAAAAUAAGCAACAUUUAAGGUUAAAAACGGGGAUUUCUAUGAAAAUAAGCGAUAAUUAAGGUUAAAAACGGGGAUUUCUAUGAAAAUAAGCGAUAUUUAAGGUUAAAAACAGGGAUUUCUAUGAAAAUAAGCGAUAUUUAAGGUUAAAAACAGGGAUUUCUAUGAAAAUAAGCGAUAAUUAAGGUUAAAAACAGGGAUUUCUAUGAAAAUAAGCGAUAUUUAAGGUUAAAAACGGGGAUUUCUAUGAAAAUAAGCGAUAUUUUAUUGGAAAUACAGGGAUUUCUAUGAAAAUAAGCGAUAUUUAAGGUUAAAAACGGGGAUUUCUAUGAAAAUAAGCGAUAUUUAAGGUUAAAAAUAGUGAUUUCUAUGAAAAUAAGCGAUAUUUCAGGUUAAAAACGGGGAUUUCUAUGAAAAUAAGCGAUAUUUAAGGUUAAAAACGGGGAUUUCUAUGAAAAUAAGCGAUAUUUAAGGUUAAAAACGGGGAUUUCUAUGAAAAUAAGCGAUAUUUAAGGUUAAAAAUAGUGAUUUCUAUGAAAAUAAGCGAUAUUUCAGGUUAAAAACGGGGAUUUCUAUGAAAAUAAGCGAUAUUUCAGGUUAAAAACGGGGAUUUCUAUGAAAAUAAGCGAUAUUUAAGGUUAAAAACGGGGAUUUCUAUGAAAAUAAGCGAUAAUUAAGGUUAAAAACGGGGAUUUCUAUGAAAAUAAGCGAUAUUUAAGGUUAAAAACGGGGAUUUCUAUGAAAAUAAGCAAUAUUUUAUUGGAAAAACAGGGAUUUCUAUGAAAAUAAGCGAUAUAUAAGGUUAAAAACGGGGAUUUCUAUGAAAAUAAGCGAUAUUUAAGGUUAAAAACAGGGAUUUCUAUGAAAAUAAGCAACAUUUAAGGUUAAAAACGGGGAUUUCUAUGAAAAUAAGCGAUAAUUAAGGUUAAAAACGGGGAUUUCUAUGAAAAUAAGCGAUAUUUAAGGUUAAAAACAGGGAUUUCUAUGAAAAUAAGCGAUAUUUAAGGUUAAAAACAGGGAUUUCUAUGAAAAUAAGCGAUAUUUUAGUGGAAAAACAGGGAUUUCUAUGAAAAUAAGCGAUAUUUAAGGUUAAAAACAGGGAUUUCUAUGAAAAUAAGCGAUAUUUAAGGUUAAAAACGGGGAUUUCUAUGAAAAUAAGCGAUAUUUAAGGUUAAAAACGGGGAUUUCUAUGAAAAUAAGCGAUAUUUAAGGUUAAAAACAGGGAUUUCUAUGAAAAUAAGCGAUAUUUAAGGCUAAAAACGGGGAUUUCUAUGAAAAUAAGCGAUAUUUUAGUGGAAAAACAGGGAUUUCUAUGAAAAUAAGCGAUAUUUCAGGUUAAAAACAGGGAUUUCUAUGAAAAUAAGCGAUAUUUAAGGUUAAAAACAGGGAUUUCUAUGAAAAUAAGCGAUAUUUAAGGUUAAAAACGGGGAUUUCUAUGAAAAUAAGCGAUAUUUAAGGUUAAAAACGGGGAUUUCUAUGAAAAUAAGCGAUAUUUAAGGUUAAAAACAGGGAUUUCUAUGAAAAUAAGCGAUAUUUAAGGCUAAAAACGGGGAUUUCUAUGAAAAUAAGCGAUAUUUAAGGUUAAAAACAGGGAUUUCUAUGAAAAUAAGCAACAUUUAAGGUUAAAAACGGGGAUUUCUAUGAAAAUAAGCGAUAAUUAAGGUUAAAAACGGGGAUUUCUAUGAAAAUAAGCGAUAUUUAAGGUUAAAAACGGGGAUUUCUAUGAAAAUAAGCGAUAUUUAAGGUUAAAAACGGGGAUUUCUAUGAAAAUAAGCGAUAUUUUAGUGGAAAAACAGGGAUUUCUAUGAAAAUAAGCAAUAUUUAAGGUUAAAAACGGGGAUUUCUAUGAAAAUAAGCGAUAUUUAAGGUUAAAAACAGGGAUUUCUAUGAAAAUAAGCGAUAUUUCAGGUUAAAAACGGGGAUUUCUAUGAAAAUAAGCGAUAUUUAAGGUUAAAAACGGGGAUUUCUAUGAAAAUAAGUGAUAUUUAAGGUUAAAAACAGGGAUUUCUAUGAAAAUAAGCGAUAUUUAAGGCUAAAAACGGGGAUUUCUAUGAAAAUAAGCGAUAUUUAAGGUUAAAAACAGGGAUUUCUAUGAAAAUAAGCGAUAUUUUAGGGUUAAAAACAGGGAUUUCUAUGAAAAUAAGCGAUAUUUCAGGUUAAAAACAGGGAUUUCUAUGAAAAUAAGCGAUAUUUAAGGUUAAAAACAGGGAUUUCUAUGAAAAUAAGCGAUAUUUUAGUGGAAAAACAGGGAUUUCUAUGAAAAUAAGCGAUAUUUAAGGUUAAAAACAGGGAUUUCUAUGAAAAUAAGCGACAUUUAAGGUUAAAAACAGGGAUUUCUAUGAAAAUAAGCGAUAUUUUAGGUUAAAAACAGGGAUUUCUAUGAAAAUAAGCAAUAUUUAAGGUUAAAAACGGGGAUUUCUAUGAAAAUAAGCGAUAUUUAAGGUUAAAAACGGGGAUUUCUAUGAAAAUAAGUGAUAUUUAAGGUUAAAAACAGGGAUUUCUAUGAAAAUAAGCGAUAUUUAAGGCUAAAAACGGGGAUUUCUAUGAAAAUAAGCGAUAUUUAAGGUUAAAAACAGGGAUUUCUAUGAAAAUAAGCGAUAUUUUAGGGUUAAAAACAGGGAUUUCUAUGAAAAUAAGCGAUAUUUAAGGUUAAAAACAGGGAUUUCUAUGAAAAUAAGCGAUAUUUAAGGUUAAAAACAGGGAUUUCUAUGAAAAUAAGCGAUAUUUAAGGUUAAAAACAGGGAUUUCUAUGAAAAUAAGCGAUAUUUCAGGUUAAAAACAGGGAUUUCUAUGAAAAUAAGCGAUAUUUAAGGUUAAAAACAGGGAUUUCUAUGAAAAUAAGCGAUAUUUUAGGGGAAAAACAGGGAUUUCUAUGAAAAUAAGCGAUAUUUUAGGGGAAAAACAAGGAUUUCUAUGAAAAUAAGGGAUAUUUUAGGUUAAAAACAGGGAUUUCUAUGAAAAUAAGCGAUAUUUUAGAAGAAAAAACAGGGAUUUCUAUGAAAAUAAGCGAUAUUUAAGGUUAAAAACAGGGAUUUCUAUGAAAAUAAGCGAUAUUUAAGGUUAAAAACGGGGAUUUCUAUGAAAAUAAGCGAUAUUUUAGGGUUAAAAACAGGGAUUUCUAUGAAAAUAAGCGAUAUUUAAGGUUAAAAACAGGGAUUUCUAUGAAAAUAAGCGAUAUUUAAGGUUAAAAACAGGGAUUUCUAUGAAAAUAAGCGAUAUUUCAGGUUAAAAACAGGGAUUUCUAUGAAAAUAAGCGAUAUUUCAGGUUAAAAACAGGGAUUUCUAUGAAAAUAAGCGAUAUUUUAGGUUAAAAACAGGGAUUUCUAUGAAAAUAAGCGAUAUUUUAGGGGAAAAACAAGGAUUUCUAUGAAAAUAAGGGAUAUUUUAGGUUAAAAACAGGGAUUUCUAUGAAAAUAAGCGAUAUUUUAGGGUUAAAAACAGGGAUUUCUAUGAAAAUAAGCGAUAUUUUAGAAGAAAAAACAGGGAUUUCUAUGAAAAUAAGCGAUAUUUUAGGGGAAAAACAGGGAUUUCUAUGAAAAUAAGCGAUAUUUAAGGUUAAAAACAGGGAUUUCUAUGAAAAUAAGCGAUAUUUCAGGUUAAAAACAGGGAUUUCCAUGAAAAUAAGCGAUAUUUAAGGCUAAAAACGGGGAUUUCUAUGAAAAUAAGCGAUAUUUAAGGUUAAAAACGGGGAUUUCUAUGAAAAUAAGCGAUAUUUCAGGUUAAAAACAGGGAUUUCUAUGAAAAUAAGCGGUAUUUUAGGUUAAAAACAGGGAUUUCUAUGAAAAUAAGCGAUAUUUAAGGUUAAAAACAGGGAUUUCUAUGAAAAUAAGCGAUAUUUAAGGUUAAAAACAGGGAUUUCUAUGAAAAUAAGCGAUAUUUAAGGUUAAAAACAGGGAUUUCUAUGAAAAUAAGCGAUAUUUAAGGUUAAAAACAGGGAUUUCUAUGAAAAUAAGCGACAUUUAAGGUUAAAAACAGGGAUUUCUAUGAAAAUAAGCGAUAUUUUAGGUUAAAAACAGGGAUUUCUAUGAAAAUAAGCGAUAUUUUAGGUUAAAAACAGGGAUUUCUAUGAAAAUAAGCGAUAUUUAAGGUUAAAAACAGGGAUUUCUAUGAAAAUAAGCGAUAUUUAAGGUUAAAAACAGGGAUUUCUAUGAAAAUAAGCGAUAUUUAAGGUUAAAAACAGGGAUUUCUAUGAAAAUAAGCGAUAUUUAAGGUUAAAAACAGGGAUUUCUAUGAAAAUAAGCGACAUUUAAGGUUAAAAACAGGGAUUUCUAUGAAAAUAAGCGAUAUUUUAGGUUAAAAACAGGGAUUUCUAUGAAAAUAAGCGAUAUUUUAGGUUAAAAACAGGGAUUUCUAUGAAAAUAAGCGAUAUUUUAGGGUUAAAAACAGGGAUUUCUAUGAAAAUAAGCGAUAUUUUAGUAGAAAAAACGGGGAUUUCUAUGAAAAUAAGCGAUAUUUAAGGUUAAAAACAGGGAUUUCUAUGAAAAUAAGCGAUAUUUCAGGUUAAAAACAGGGAUUUCUAUGAAAAUAAGCGAUAUUUAAGGUUAAAAACGGGGAUUUCUAUGAAAAUAAGCGAUAUUUUAGGGGAAAAACAGGGAUUUCUAUGAAAAUAAGCGAUAUUUUAGGGGAAAAACAGGGAUUUCUAUGAUAAUAAGCGAUAUUUAAGGUUAAAAACAGGGAUUUCUAUGAAAAUAAGCGAUAUUUAAGGUUAAAAACAGGGAUUUCUAUGAAAAUAAGCGAUAUUUCAGGUUAAAAACAGGGAUUUCUAUGAAAAUAAGCGAUAUUUAAGGUUAAAAACAGGGAUUUCUAUGAAAAUAAGCGAUAUUUAAGGCUAAAAACGGGGAUUUCUAUGAAAAUAAGCGAUAUUUUAGGUUAAAAACAGGGAUUUCUAUGAAAAUAAGCGAUAUUUUAGUGGAAAAACAGGGAUUUCUAUGAUAAUAAGCGAUAUUUAAGGUUAAAAACAGGGAUUUCUAUCAAAAUAAGCGAUAUUUAAGGUUAAAAACAGGGAUUUCUAUGAAAAUAAGCGAUAUUUUAGGUUAAAAACAGGGAUUUCUAUGAAAAUAAGCGAUAUUUAAGGUUAAAAACAGGGAUAUCUAUGAAAAUAAGCGAUAUUUUAGGGGAAAAACAGGGAUUUCUAUGAAAAUAAGCGAUAUUUUAGGGGAAAAACAGGGAUUUCUAUGAUAAUAAGCGAUAUUUAAGGUUAAAAACAGGGAUUUCUAUCAAAAUAAGCGAUAUUUAAGGUUAAAAACAGGGAUUUCUAUGAAAAUAAGCGAUAUUUUAGGUUAAAAACAGGGAUUUCUAUGAAAAUAAGCGAUAUUUAAGGUUAAAAACAGGGAUAUCUAUGAAAAUAAGCGAUAUUUAAGGGGAAAAACAGGGAUUUCUAUGAAAAUAAGCGAUAUUUUAGGGGAAAAACAGGGAUUUCUAUGAUAAUAAGCGAUAUUUAAGGUUAAAAACAGGGAUUUCUAUGAAAAUAAGCGAUAUUUCAGGUUAAAAACAGGGAUUUCUAUGAAAAUAAGCGAUAUUUCAGGUUAUAAACAGGGAUUUCUAUGAAAAUAAGCGAUAUUUAAGGUUAAAAACAGGGAUUUCUAUGAAAAUAAGCGAUAUUUGAGGUUAAAAACAGGGAUUUCUAUGAAAAUAAGCGAUAUUUAAGGUUAAAAACAGGGAUUUCUAUGAAAAUAAGCGACAUUUAAGGUUAAAAACAGGGAUUUCUAUGAAAAUAAGCGAUAUUUAAGGUUAAAAACAGGGAUUUCUAUGAAAAUAAGCGAUAUUUUAGGGUUAAAAACAGGGAUUUCUAUGAAAAUAAGCGAUAUUUAAGGUUAAAAACAGGGAUUUCUAUGAAAAUAAGCGAUAUUUAAGGGUAAAAACAGGGAUUUCUAUGAAAAUAAGCGAUAUUUCAGGUUAAAAACAGGGAUUUCUAUGAAAAUAAGCGAUAUUUAAGGUUAAAAACAGGGAUUUCUAUGAAAAUAAGCGAUAUUUUAGGGGAAAAACAGGGAUUUCUAUGAAAAUAAGCGAUAUUUUAGGGGAAAAACAAGGAUUUCUAUGAAAAUAAGGGAUAUUUUAGGUUAAAAACAGGGAUUUCUAUGAAAAUAAGCGAUAUUUUAGGGUUAAAAACAGGGAUUUCUAUGAAAAUAAGCGAUAUUUUAGAAGAAAAAACAGGGAUUUCUAUGAAAAUAAGCGAUAUUUAAGGUUAAAAACAGGGAUUUCUAUGAAAAUAAGCGAUAUUUAAGGUUAAAAACGGGGAUUUCUAUGAAAAUAAGCAAUAUUUAAGGUUAAAAACGGGGAUUUCUAUGAAAAUAAGCGAUAAUUAAGGUUAAAAACGGGGAUUUCUAUGAAAAUAAGCGAUAUUUAAGGUUAAAAACGGGGAUUUCUAUGAAAAUAAGCGAUAUUUAAGGUUAAAAACGGGGAUUUCUAUGAAAAUAAGCGAUAUUUUAGUGGAAAAACAGGGAUUUCUAUGAAAAUAAGCAAUAUUUAAGGUUAAAAACGGGGAUUUCUAUGAAAAUAAGCGAUAUUUAAGGUUAAAAACAGGGAUUUCUAUGAAAAUAAGCGAUAUUUAAGGUUAAAAACGGGGAUUUCUAUGAAAAUAAGCGAUAUUUAAGGUUAAAAACAGGGAUUUCUAUGAAAAUAAGCGAUAUUUAAGGCUAAAAAACGGGGAUUUCUAUGAAAAUAAGCGAUAUUUAAGGUUAAAAACAGGGAUUUCUAUGAAAAUAAGCGAUAUUUUAGGUUAAAAACAGGGAUUUCUAUGAAAAUAAGCGAUAUUUAAGGUUAAAAACAGGGAUUUCUAUGAAAAUAAGCGAUAUUUAAGGUUAAAAACAGGGAUUUCUAUGAAAAUAAGCGAUAUUUAAGGUUAAAAACAGGGAUUUCUAUGAAAAUAAGCGAUAUUUCAGGUUAAAAACAGGGAUUUCUAUGAAAAUAAGCGAUAUUUUAGGGGAAAAACAGGGAUUUCUAUGAAAAUAAGCGAUAUUUAAGGUUAAAAACAGGGAUUUCUAUGAAAAUAAGCGAUAUUUUAGGGGAAAAACAAGGAUUUCUAUGAAAAUAAGGGAUAUUUUAGGUUAAAAACAGGGAUUUCUAUGAAAAUAAGCGAUAUUUUAGAAGAAAAAACAGGGAUUUCUAUGAAAAUAAGCGAUAUUUAAGGUUAAAAACAGGGAUUUCUAUGAAAAUAAGCGAUAUUUAAGGUUAAAAACGGGGAUUUCUAAGAAAAUAAGCGAUAUUUUAGGGUUAAAAACAGGGAUUUCUAUGAAAAUAAGCGAUAUUUAAGGUUAAAAACAGGGAUUUCUAUGAAAAUAAGCGAUAUUUAAGGUUAAAAACAGGGAUUUCUAUGAAAAUAAGCGAUAUUUCAGGUUAAAAACAGGGAUUUCUAUGAAAAUAAGCGAUAUUUAAGGUUAAAAACAGGGAUUUCUAUGAAAAUAAGCGAUAUUUUAGGGGAAAAACAGGGAUUUCUAUGAAAAUAAGCGAUAUUUUAGGGGAAAAACAAGGAUUUCUAUGAAAAUAAGGGAUAUUUUAGGUUAAAAACAGGGAUUUCUAUGAAAAUAAGCGAUAUUUUAGGGUUAAAAACAGGGAUUUCUAUGAAAAUAAGCGAUAUUUUAGAAGAAAAAACAGGGAUUUCUAUGAAAAUAAGCGAUAUUUUAGGGGA